rnacentral:rRNA from 1 species
GAUGAACGCUGGCGGCGUGCCUAAUACAUGCAAGUCGAGCGAAGCGGGGACGGGUGAGUAACCCGUAGGUACCCUCCUCUAAGACUGGGUUCACGUCGGGGAACCUGAGCUAAACCCGCUCCUUAUAGAUGGUUCCGCGCUGCAUUAGCUAGUGGGUCGGGUAACGGCUUACCAAGGCAACGAUGCAUAGCCGACCUGAGAGGGUGAUCAGCCACACUGGAACUGAGACACGGUCCAGACUCCUACGGGAGGCAGCAGUAGGGAAUCUUCCGCAAUGGGCGAAAGCCUGACGGAGCAAGGCCGCGUGAGUGAUGAAGGCCUUCGGAUCGUAAAGCUCUGUUAGUAGGGAAGCGGUACCUAAACAGAAAGCCACGGCUAACUACGUGCCAGCAGCCGCGGUAAUAC